rnacentral:piRNA from 1 species
UGGGAAACAAUACUUUGGAUAAGGUUUGCC